AGUGAACGCUGGCGGCAGGCCUAACACAUGCAAGUCGAGCGGCAGCGGGUCCUUCGGGAUGCCGGCGAGCGGCGGACGGGUGAGGAAUGCAUCGGAAUCUGCCCUGUCGUGGGGGAUAACCUAGGGAAGCUUAGGCUAAUACCGCAUACGACCCACGGGUGAAAGCGGGGGAUCGCAAGACCUCGCGCGAUAGGAUGAGCCGAUGUCCGAUUAGCUAGUUGGCGGGGUAAAGGCCCACCAAGGCGACGAUCGGUAGCUGGUCUGAGAGGAUGAUCAGCCACACUGGGACUGAGACACGGCCCAGACUCCUACGGGAGGCAGCAGUGGGGAAUAUUGGACAAUGGGCGCAAGCCUGAUCCAGCCAUGCCGCGUGGGUGAAGAAGGCCUUCGGGUUGUAAAGCCCUUUUGUCCGGGAAGAAGUCGUCUGGGCUAAUACCCCGGGCGGAUGAGGGUACCGGAAGAAUAAGCACCGGCUAACUUCGUG
rnacentral:rRNA from 1 species